AUUGAACGCUGGCGGCAGGCUUAACACAUGCAAGUCGAGCGAGCGGCGGACGGGUGAGUAAUGUCUGGGAAACUGCCUGAUGGAGGGGGAGAACUACUGGAAACGGUAGCUAAUACAGCAUACCAUCAGAUGUGCCCAGAUGGGUUGAGCUAGUAGGUGUGGUAAUGGCUCAACUAGGCGACGAUCACGAGCGGGUCUGAGAGGAUGACCAGCCACCCUGGAACUGAGACACGGUCCAGACUCCUACGGGAGGCAGCAGUGGGGAAUAUUGCACAAUGGGCGCAAGCCUGAUGCAGCCAUGCCGCGUGUGUGAAGAAGGCCUUCGGGUUGUAAAGCACUUUCAGCGAGGAGGCGUUACUCGCAGAAGAAGCACCGGCUAACUCCGUGCCAGCAGCCGCGGUAAUAC
rnacentral:rRNA from 1 species